UUAAGCAUAUCAAUAAGCGGAGGAAAAGAAACCAACCGGGAUUGCCUCAGUAACGGCGAGUGAAGCGGCAAGAGCUCAAAUUUGAAAGCUGGCCCCUUCGGGGUCCGCAUUGUAAUUUGCAGAGGAUGCUUCGGAUAUGGCCCCCGUCUAAGUGCCCUGGAACGGGCCGUCGGAGAGGGUGAGAAUCCCGUCUGGGACGGGGUGUCCGUGUCCGUGUGAAGCUCCUUCGACGAGUCGAGUUGUUUGGGAAUGCAGCUCUAAAUGGGUGGUAAAUUUCAUCUAAAGCUAAAUACUGGCCGGAGACCGAUAGCGCACAAGUAGAGUGAUCGAAAGAUGAAAAGCACUUUGAAAAGAGAGUUAAAAAGCACGUGAAAUUGUUGAAAGGGAAGCGCUUGCGACCAGACUCGCCUGCGGGGUUCAGCCGGGAUUCGUCCCGGUGUACUUCCCCGUAGGCGGGCCAGCGUCGGUUUGGGCGGCCGGUCAAAGGCCUCCGGAAUGUAUCGCCCCCCGGGGCGUCUUAUAGCCGGAGGUGCAAUGCGGCCUGCCUGGACCGAGGAACGCGCUUCGGCACGGACGCUGGCAUAAUGGUCGUAAGCGACCCGUCUUGAAACACGGACCAAGGAGUCUAACAUCUACGCGAGUGUUCGGGUGUCAAACCCGUGCGCGCAGUGAAAGCGAACGGAGGUGGGAACCCUCACGGGUGCACCAUCGACCGAUCCUGAUGUCUUCGGAUGGAUUUGAGUAGGAGCGUAGCUGUUGGGACCCGAAAGAUGGUGAACUAUGCCUGAAUAGGGCGAAGCCAGAGGAAACUCUGGUGGAGGCUCGCAGCGGUUCUGACGUGCAAAUCGAUCGUCAAAUUUGGGUAUA
rnacentral:rRNA from 1 species